UUCGAGUGGCGGACGGGUGAGUAACGCGUGGUAACCUGCCUUACACAGGGGAUAACACCUGGAAACAGGUGCUAAUACCGCAUAAGCGCACAGGGCCGCAUGGCCCGGUGUGAAAAACUCCGGUGGUGUAAGAUGGACCCGCGUCUGAUUAGCUUGUUGGCGGGGUAGGGGCCCACCAAGGCGACGAUCAGUAGCCGGCCUGAGAGGGUGGACGGCCACAUUGGGACUGAGACACGGCCCAAACUCCUACGGGAGGCAGCAG
rnacentral:rRNA from 1 species